rnacentral:rRNA from 1 species
UACGAAGGGGGCUAGCGUUGCUCGGAAUCACUGGGCGUAAAGGGUGCGUAGGCGGGUCUUUUAAGUCAGGGGUGAAAUCCUGGAGCUCAACUCCCAGAACUGCCUUUAGAUACUGAAGAUCUUGAGUUCGGGAGAGGUGAGUGGAACUGCGAGUGUAGAGGUGAAAUUCGUAGAUAUUCGCAAGAACACCAGUGGCGAAGGCGGCUCACUGGCCCGAUACUGACGCUGAGGCACGAAAGCGUGGGGAGCAAACAGG